rnacentral:rRNA from 1 species
GACGAACGCUGGCGGCGUGCUUAACACAUGCAAGUCGAACGGAAAGGCCCUGCUUUUGUGGGGUGCUCGAGUGGCGAACGGGUGAGUAACACGUGAGUAACCUGCCCUUGACUUUGGGAUAACUUCAGGAAACUGGGGCUCAUACCGGAUAGGAGCUCCUGCUGCAUGGUGGGGGUUGGAAAGUUUCGGCGGUUGGGGAUGGACUCGCGGCUUAUCCGCUUGUUGGUGGGGUAGUGGCUUACCAAGGCUUUGACGGGUAGCCGGCCUGAGAGGGUGACCGGCCACAUUGGGACUGAGAGACGGCCCAGACUCCUACGGGAGGCAGCAGUGGGGAAUAUUGCACAAUGGGCGGAAGCCUGAUGCAGCAACGCCGCGUGCGGGAUGACGGCCUUCGGGUUGUAAACCGCUUUCGCCUGUGACGAAGCGUGAGUGACGGUAAUGGGUAAAGAAGCACCGGCUAACUACGUG